rnacentral:rRNA from 1 species
AUUGAACGCUGGCGGCAGGCUUAACACAUGCAAGUCGAGCGAGCGGCGGACGGGUGAGUAAUGUCUGGGAAACUGCCUGAUGGCGGGGGAUAACUACUGGAACCGGUAGCUAAUACCGCAUACCAUCAGAUGUGCCCAGAUGGGAUUAGCUAGUAGGUGGGGUAAAGGCUCACCAAGGCGACGAUCCCUAGCUGGUCUGAGAGGAUGACCAGCCACACUGGAACUGAGACACGGUCCAGACUCCUACGGGAGGCAGCAGUGGGGAAUCUUGCACAAUGGGCGCAAGCCUGAUGCAGCCAUGCCGCGUGUGUGAAGAAGGCCUUCGGGUUGUAAAGCACUUUCAGCAGGGAAGCGGUACUCGCAGAAUAAGCACCGGCUAACUCCGUGCCAGCAGCCGCGGUAAUUC